GGAGGCUGUUUCGUCGGGAACAUUGGCAGGACGGCUCCCUGCCACUCUAUCCUUUCACCGCACACUAAUGCUGGAUCCGUCCGGGCUGGCGCUGAUCUGCAGAAUCCAGUCCACAUUGCUUCUCAAAGACCUUCAACAACACAGCACUGAAGACUGAAGAGGAGCCUGCCCAUGUAGUAGAAGAUGAGCAAGAAGAAGAGGAGAGAAGGACCCCCAGGUCCCCUUUCCCACCAAAGAAAUCUGCCAUCUGGAACCCUGCCCAAGCUGGAGGAGAGUGUAAUGCCAGGUGGACACUGAGUUUUAUCAGCACACUUUUCCUGUAAUUCCUGAACUUGGAGAGAACAGCACAAACUGAAGACGGAGCUCUCAUCAACUCACACUCUCAUGAGUGAUUUUAGUUUUGGGAAAAGCCAGAAGUCACAGGGCACCAAAUCUGGGCUGCAGGGGCCGAGUCACCUGGGUCAUCUGCACCUGUGACUACCUGAAUGGAGAAGCCACUGCUGUGCACUGUGUGGGUGCAAACAUCCUGAACUGCCUCCUAGUAUUUUGCUGGUGACCUUGUCUUGCUGUGUCUGUGAUAUGAAAUGUUUCUGCUUCUGUUUGCAGAUGUCAUUUAUAAAAUCAUUCAGAAUGCUAACUGUGGCAAGUAUGUGAGCCAUAGUAGAGUAUCAAAAACAGUUACUUUUCUCAAAUCCAGGCCAAAUGCUGUUCACUGAAAUAGCCUGCCUAGGAAAAGUUAAACAAAUGCUACAGAUAUUUGUGGCACUCGUGCCUAAACGUAAGGAUAGGUUAAAUGAAUUGUCCAGCUUUCUUUCUACACGUUCCCAAAAAUGACCUCCGGUGGUAUUUUUUCCCCUUCCAACUGUUAAGAUUUCUUAGUGGCAUUUCUUUCCCUGGACUGCUGAGUAGUUGAUGAUAUAAAAGUUAAUAUGGGUCCGCUUUGAAACACUCUGUCACGUUCUUACACUCGCUUUGAAUUUACGUAACGUAAUUACAUGUGGUUAAAUGUCAAACAUGAAAAACCAGUUGAAGAGAAAAGUGUCGUGGGUAGAAAAUGGCUGAAGAAAAGUGAGGAAGCUGUUCUAACAUCCUUAAUAAAACUGAUGUGUUGAAUUCAAUUAACUCAGUAUCGAUGGGUUGAUGUGAACAACUUAAGAUGUGUAGACAUGGCUGAAAGUAUGACCUCUAUAGCUGACUUCUAAGUUACCGAAGGAGUGGCAUGCAAAUGCUCCCAAGGUGAGCAUCCCUUUGUUUAGUUUGUUUUGGUCAUCAGCAUUUGAGGAUCAUUUAAGGAGAGGAUCACUUCACAUGAUUUUGACUCUGUACCUUGCAAGACAGAAAACUUAACUCUCUUAGGCCAACACACACUUUUGUCUUCCUGGACCAGGGUUUUUCAACAGCACUGACAUUUUGG